ensembl:lncRNA
UUUGUCAAGUGAAUCUAAAUUAAAACACCUGGAGAUGGAGCUAGGAGGAAGAACAAGAAUAUAAAGUCAAGUAGGGGAAGGACAAACAGUUGAGCUGUGAACUGUACAGGACUGGAAGCUGUGAGAACCUCCCUGUAAGCUGCCCUGAAAGAAGUAUAACAUGAACAUCAUGGCAUAGGAGCCCAUGUUGUAGACCGGCUCUACCAUGAUCUAUCUAGCUUUGUGUCUUUUUCCUCUUGAAUUUAUUUCAACUAGAUAAUUCCUUUUGUCAUUUACAACUCAAAACUUCAGUAAUUCCAUAAAGGAAUAAUGAUUUUCCAGUGCUUUUGACCUCUGCCUAAAUUCCCUCUGCUCAUGUGUGCUAUGCUGUGCUGUACUCAGUCACUCAGUUGUGUCCAACUCCUUGUGACCCUUUGGACUGUAGCCCACCAGCCUCCUCUGUUCAUGGGAUUCUCCAGCUCUGCCUCCAUCAAAAAUAAGACAGUGCAUUGUCAGUCAAGCAGCUUGUAAUUUUCCCAGGCCCACUGAGUAUGAAGAGUAGGAAAAUCAGCAGUGCUCGAAGCUUCCUGAAGAUGCAGCCCUUUCGGGGAGAGGAUCUUGUGGGUUGCUGCAGGCAGUGACAGUGAUUUGCAGAAAGGUCAAUUAUUUGGAAGAGUUUAAAAAGGAUUGGAAUUCACCAGUGGAGCUAUCUAGUCCUGAACUUUUCUUUGUUGGUUGUCCAAUUUGCUGGGCUAUAACGUGGCACUGUGAUAAAGAGACUGCCUGCCAAAGCAAGAGAUGUGGUCUCGAUCUCUGGGUUGUGAAGAUCCCCUGGAGUAGGAAAUGGCAAUCCAUUCCAGUAUUCUUGCCUGGGAAAUUCCAUGGACAGAGAAGCCUGGUAGGCUGCAGUCCAUGGGGCCACAAAGAGUCAGACAUGACUGAGCGACUGAAUACAGCACAGUUGUUCAUAGUAGUCUCUUAGGAUCCUUUGUAUUUCUGUGGUAUCACUUGUAAUGUCUCCUCUUUCCUUUAUAAUUUUAUUUAUUUGAAUUCUUUGUCUUCUUUUUUUCUUGGUAGGUCAAACUGAAAUUCCAACACUGGAUAUUACCUGUUUUUUUUAAUGUUUGCUAGUUUGAUGAACUAUAACAUUUUAGUGUUUUAAUUGUAUUUUUGUUUACCGUGAGAAAUGGAAUAUUUUCCUUUGCCGUUUUCCAUUUCUAUUUCUUUUACUAUGAAGUACCUCUUUAUAUUCUUUCCCCCUUUUUAUUAAAUGGUUCACCUUAUUAA